rnacentral:rRNA from 1 species
UACGGCUCUCCGUAGGUGACCUGCGGAGGGAUCAUUACACAAUAUGAAAGCGGGCUGGCAUCCUUCGGGGUUACAGCCUUGCUGAAUUAUUCACCCGUGUCUUUUGCGUACUUCUUGUUUCCUUGGUGGGUUCGCCCACCAUAGGACAAACCAUAAACCUUUUGUAAUUGCAAUCAGCGUCAGAAAAAAAAAAUUAAUAAUUACAACUUUUAACAACGGAUCUCUUGGUUCUGGCAUCGAUGAAAAACGCAGCGAAAUGCGAUAAGUAGUGUGAAUUGCAAAAUUCAGUGAAUCAUCGAAUCUUUGAACGCACAUUGCGCCCUUUGGUAUUCCAAAGGGCAUGCCUGUUCGAGCGUCAUUUGUACCCUCAAGCUUUGCUUGGUGUUGGGCGUCUUGUCUCCAGUUCGCUGGAGACUCGCCUUAAAGUAAUUGGCAGCCGGCCUACUGGUUUCGGAGCGCAGCACAAGUCGCGCUCUCUUCCAGCCAAGGUCAGCAUCCACAAAGCCUUUUUUCAACUUUUGACCUCGGAUCAGGUAGGGAUACCCGCUGAACUUAAGCAUAUCAAUAAGCGGGAAGAAAAAA